UACGGAGGGUGCGAGCGUUGUCCGGAAUCAUUGGGCGUAAAGGGCGCGUAGGUGGCGGGACAAGCGUGCGGUGAAAGCCUGGGCUCAACCCCGGGUCGGCCGUGCGAACUGUUUUGCUUGAGCACUGUAGAGGCAGGCGGAAUUCCGGGUGUAGCGGUGGAAUGCGUAGAGAUCCGGAAGAACACCGGUGGCGAAGGCGGCCUGCUGGGCAGUAGCUGACACUGAGGCGCGACAGCGUGGGGAGCGAACAGG
rnacentral:rRNA from 1 species